rnacentral:rRNA from 1 species
GAUGAACGCUGGCGGCGUGCCUAAUACAUGCAAGUAGAACGCUGAAGGAAGGAGCUUGCUCUUUCCGGAUGAGUUGCGAACGGGUGAGUAACGCGUAGGUAACCUGCCUGGUAGCGGGGGAUAACUAUUGGAAACGAUAGCUAAUACCGCAUAACAGUAGAUGUUGCAUGAUAUCUACUUAAAAGGUGCAAUUGCACCACUACCAGAUGGACCUGCGUUGUAUUAGCUAGUUGGUGAGGUAACGGCUCACCAAGGCGACGAUACAUAGCCGACCUGAGAGGGUGAUCGGCCACACUGGGACUGAGACACGGCCCAGACUCCUACGGGAGGCAGCAGUAGGGAAUCUUCGGCAAUGGACGGAAGUCUGACCGAGCAACGCCGCGUGAGUGAAGAAGGUUUUCGGAUCGUAAAGCUCUGUUGUAAGAGAAGAACGAGUGUGAGAGUGGAAAGUUCACACUGUGACGGUAGCUUACCUGAAAGGGACGGCUAACUACGUG